UUUAUAUUUGCCUCCUGCAGUUGUUUUGCUUACAGACUCAUGUCUGAUUUUUAUUUAUUAAACCUGCACACAGUCCUUUUGUCCCCGUACUAGCAGCUCUGCUCAGUGCUUGUAUUGGGCUUCUAUAACUCAUGUAAGGUAAUCUUCACAGUGUUUGUAUGGACCAGAGGUCAGAACAUGGGCAUUUACAUCAGCAGUACCAGAAUUCACGGUCGUCUCAUUUCUGACAGCCUUGCAGAAUUGGGGGGAAAAACCUUUCCCAUCAUCUUUCUCCCCGUUACACAGGGCCAGAUAAGUAUGAAAAAGGCCACUGUGGAAUUCCACAGGGUUAUUCACUAAAGUAAUUAUUCUUGGGAACUUAAAGUGAAUUUAAAACUUUAGGCCAGAAUAGAC